CAGAGCAGCUCAAAGCAAAUACGAUAACGAGAAGGGAAUGAAAGAGAAUGGGACAACGUGCCGCACAGUGGGACUGAACCCAAGGCGACAUGGUUGGAAAGCAAGCUUCUCAAUCACAUGGCCACGCCUAUAAAGGAGAGAUACAUUUUGGAUAAUAUACUCCUUGAUACAAUAUGCUUAA